rnacentral:rRNA from 1 species
UGGCGAACGGGUGAGUAAUAUAUCGGAACGUACCUUAUCGUGGGGGAUAACGCAGCGAAAGCUGCGCUAAUACCGCAUACGCCCUGAGGGGGAAAGCGGGGGACCGUAAGGCCUCGCGCGAUUAGAGCGGCCGAUAUCUGAUUAGCUUGUUGGUGGGGUAAAAGCCCACCAAGGCGACGAUCAGUAGCUGGUCUGAGAGGACGAUCAGCCACACUGGGACUGAGACACGGCCCAGACUCC